GAUGAACGCUGGCGGCGUGCCUAACACAUGCAAGUCGAGCGAGAUUUAGUGGAGUGGAGACUUCGGUCAAAAGCGAAAUUAAUGAAAGCGGCGGACGGGUGAGUAACGCGUGAGCAAUCUGCCCCAUACAAAGGGAUACCCACUGGAAACGGUGAUUAAUACCUUAUAAGACCACAGAGUCGCAUGGCUUAGGGGGUCAAAGAUUUAUCGGUAUGGGAUGAGCUCGCGUCUGAUUAGCUAGUUGGUAAGGUAAUGGCUUACCAAGGCGACGAUCAGUAGCCGACCUGAGAGGGUGAACGGCCACACUGGAACUGAGACACGGUCCAGACUCCUACGGGAGGCAGCAGUGGGGAAUAUUGCACAAUGGGCGCAAGCCUGAUGCAGCAACGCCGCGUGAAUGAUGAAGGCCUUCGGGUCGUAAAGUUCUGUCCAAAGGGAAGAAUAAAAUGACGGUACCUUUGGAGGAAGCCCCGGCUAACUACGUG
rnacentral:rRNA from 1 species